UGGAGUGGGAGGUCGUGUCGAGGGCAGAGUCCAAGGACAUAUUCAGGUCACCACCCAUGAUCAACAUGCCUUCCAUAAAGGAUUCGAUUAUAUUAAGAUACUUCUUGAGGGCUUUGCCUUGGUGUCGGUUGGGUAGGUAUAGGUUAGCAAAUGUGAGGACGGUCUGGCCUAUCUGUCCCUUUACCAAGAGUAGCCUGCCCCCAUCAUCAGUUUUGUGAGCCUUGUAGGUGAAAGGAGUGUGUGCUGCAAAGAGUAUGGCUACCC